CCUACGGGUGGCAGCAGUGGGGAAUAUUGCACAAUGGGGGAAACCCUGAUGCAGCGACGCCGCGUGAGUGAAGAAGUAAUUCGUUAUGUAAAGCUCCAUCAGCAGGGAAGAAAAUGACGGUACGUGAGUAAGAAGACGCGGCUACCUACGGGCCAGCAGCCGGGGUAAUAUGUAGGGGGCAAGCGUGAUCCAGAUUUACUGGGUGUAAAGGGGGCGUAGACGGCAGUGCAAGGCUGGAGUGAAAGGCGGGGGCUCAACCCCCGGACUGCUCUUGAAACUGUACGGCUGGAGUGCAGGAGAGGUAAGUGGAAUUCCUAGUGUAGCGGUGAAAUGCGUAGAUAUUAGGAGGAACACCAGUUGCGAAGGCGGCUUACUGGACUGUAACUGACGUUGAGGCUCGAAAGCGUGGGUAGCAAACAGGAUUAGAUACCCUUGUAGUC
rnacentral:rRNA from 1 species